UACGAAGGGGGCUAGCGUUGCUCGGAAUCACUGGGCGUAAAGCGCACGUAGGCGGCUUUCUAAGUCAGGGGUGAAAUCCUGGAGCUCAACUCCAGAACUGCCUUUGAUACUGGAGAGGAUGGCGGAAUUCCCCAAGUAGAGGUGAAAUUCGUAGAUAUGGGGAGGAACACCGGUGGCGAAGGCGGCCAUCUGGACGGAUACUGACGCUGAGACGCGAAAGCGUGGGUAGCAAACAGG
rnacentral:rRNA from 1 species